UACGGGGGGAGCAAGCGUUGUUCGGAUUUACUGGGCGUAAAGGGCGCGUAGGCGGUCAGCACAAGUCAGUUGUGAAAUCUCCGGGCUUAACCCGGAAAGGUCAACUGAUACUGUGCGACUAGAGUGCGGAAGGGGCAACUGGAAUUCUCGGUGUAGCGGUGAAAUGCGUAGAUAUCGAGAGGAACACCUGCGGCGAAGGCGGGUUGCUGGGCCGACACUGACGCUGAUGCGCGAAAGCUAGGGGGAGCAAACGGG
rnacentral:rRNA from 1 species